GAUCAGCCAUGCCGCGUGCAGGAUGAGGCCCUCUGGGUUGUAAACUGCUUUUAUUUGGGAAAAAACCUUACUACGUGUAGUAGGCUGACGGUACCGAAUGAAUAAGCACCGGCUAACUCCGUGCCAGCAGCCGCGGUAAUACGGAGGGUGCAAGCGUUAUCCGGAUUCAUUGGGUUUAAAGGGUGCGCAGGCGGAUUUGUAAGUCAGAGGUGAAAUCCUAUCGCUUAACUAUAGAACUGCCAUUGAUACUGUAAGUCUUGAAUUUAGUUGAAGUGGGCGGAAUGUGUCGUGUAGCGGUGAAAUGCAUAGAUAUUACAUAGAACACCGAUUGCGAAGGCAGCUCACUACGCCAGGAUUGACGCUGAGGCACGAAAGCGUGGGGAUCAAACAGGAUUAGAUACCCUGGUAGUCCACGCCGUAAACUAUGAAUACUCGUUUUCGGCGAUAUACAGUCGGAGACUAAGCGAAAGCGUUAAGUAUUCCACCUGGGGAGUACGAUCGCAAGGUUGAAACU
rnacentral:rRNA from 1 species